GUAUCACAGCGGUAGACCCAUAAAUGGGUCACAAACUAGCCCAGGGCUAGCUUUAAUGCUAACUACAUGCUAUGGGCUGGAUAAGGUUAAGCUAUUACCUUUUAUUGGAUUAGUGUCCGUUUGAACUAAAGAUUCAUUCCUUUUUUUUUAAUUUGCUCCAUCUCCUCAUCCCCAGACGUUAGGUUGUAUCUGAUAAUGGAUUAUCACAGCAACUCCAUGGAGUACAAUUAUUAUCGUCAGCCAGAAUACUUGGUAAUGGAGUAUGAGCAUUUUCUCAGAGAGGUAAAGUGGUUGCUGUGGGCAAUCGGUAUCAUCAGCCUCCCGUUGAACGGAGCGGUCAUCUUCGCUACGUUUUCUCAGGUGCAGAGGGGCGUGACUCGGAUCUACGUCAUGAACCUUCUGGUCUCUGACCUCCUGCAGCUCUGCUCUACGGCGGCUCCAUCCACAAGCGAUUAUGGGGCUUUCAUCUCCUACGAAUUCUGCUAUUUAGGUCUGAUGGCCAGCGUUGGCUUCAGGACGUUCCUCGCUUUGGAAAGGUGUUCAGUGGUCUUGUGCCCACGAGGCUCCUGCUUCAGACAGUCUAUUAAAGUCUGUGCAGUGGUUUCCCUCUUUCUGUGGUUGGUUCCUCUUUGCAUCUUCCUCUUUGAUGUGUUUAGACAAGAUACAAUUGUCCAUCUCAUCUACCUCUUCCUUCCAUGUCCCUUCCUCAUCUCCACUCUUGUUAUAUCCCUUAGAUCUCUGUGUGUAAACAGCAGCGUUAAUCUCAGUCUAAAGCUCAGAGUCGUGGGCAGUGUGGUUCUGCUGGUGCUUGUUCACAUGUUGCUUAUUAUUCCCUCUCUGAUUGUAUGGCUGUCAGGAGGUACAGGAAGCUAUAUACUGGAUCAUGUGCCAGAUGUUAUUCUCAAGCUGGUUCCACUUGCAGACCUGUUUCUGUAUUUCUUUCUGACUAAAAGAGACACAGACAAUAACUUAGGUAACAGUGUGAACAGGUCAGUGAUGAACGAUGAGAGCAGCCACAUCAACAGCUCUGUGUAG
rnacentral:lncRNA from 1 species